GCGCACGCUGGCGGCCGGCUUAACCCCUGCCCGUCGAGCGGGCCCUUCGGGGUCAGCGGCAGACGGGUGAGUAACACGUGGGAACGUACCCUUUGGUUCGGAAUAACGCUGGGAAACUAGCGCUAAUACCGGAUACGCCCUUUUGGGGAAAGGCUUGCUGCCGAAGGAUCGGCCCGCGUCUGAUUAGCUAGUUGGUGGGGUAAUGGCCUACCAAGGCGACGAUCAGUAGCUGGCCUGAGAGGAUGAUCAGCCACACUGGGACUGAGACACGGCCCAGACUCCUACGGGAGGCAGCAGUGGGGAAUAUUGGACAAUGGGCGCAAGCCUGAUCCAGCCAUGCCGCGUGAGUGAUGAAGGCCUUAGGGUUGUAAAGCUCUUUUGUCCGGGACGAUAAUGACGGUACCGGAAGAAUAAGCCCCGGCUAACUUCGUG
rnacentral:rRNA from 1 species